GCGGGUGUGGCGGAAUUGGUAGACGCGCGAGAUUCAAAAUCUCGUUUCCUCUGGAAGUGUGGGUUCGAUUCCCUCCACCCGCACCA
rnacentral:tRNA from 2 species